UUGGUCAAAGUCAAGCUUUGUAAAGUUUGACUAACUUUAUAUUAAAAAAUAUGAACAUUCACAACAUGAAAUCAAUAUUAUCAAAUGCACCACGGGAUGUAUUUUCAUACUAUAUAAUUUUAAUAUAGUAGAUAUUCAUAUUUUUGGAUAUAAAUUUGGUCAAACUUUAUGUUGUUUGACUUUGACCAAAUCUUAUAUGCGGAGUAAAAAGAAACGGAGGGAGUA
rnacentral:lncRNA from 1 species